AGCCAGGAUGUUGGCUUAGAAGCAGCCAUCAUUUAAAGAAAGCGUAAUAGCUCACUGGUCGAGUCGGCCUGCGCGGAAGAUGUAACGGGGCUAAACCAUGCACCGAAGCUGCGGCAGCGACGCUGAUGCGUUGUUGGGUAGGGGAGCGUUCUGUAAGCCUGUGAAGGUGGCCUGUGAGGGUUGCUGGAGGUAUCAGAAGUGCGAAUGCUGACAUAAGUAACGAUAAAGCGGGUGAAAAGCCCGCUCGCCGGAAGACCAAGGGUUCCUGUCCAACGUUAAUCGGGGCAGGGUGAGUCGACCCCUAAGGCGAGGCCGAAAGGCGUAGUCGAUGGGAAACGGGUUAAUAUUCCCGUACUUGGUGUUACUGCGAAGGGGGGACGGAGAAGGCUAUGUUGGCCGGGCGACGGUUGUCCCGGUUUAAGCGUGUAGGUGUGUGUUCCAGGUAAAUCCGGUUCACUUUAACACUGAGGCGUGAUGACGAGGCACUACGGUGCUGAAGCAACAAAUGCCCUGCUUCCAGGAAAAGCCUCUAAGCAUCAGGUAACAUCAAAUCGUACCCCAAACCGACACAGGUGGUCAGGUAGAGAAUACCAAGGCGCUUGAGAGAACUCGGGUGAAGGAACUAGGCAAAAUGGUGCCGUAACUUCGGGAGAAGGCACGCUGACAC
rnacentral:rRNA from 1 species